rnacentral:rRNA from 1 species
AUACGUAGGUGGCAAGCGUUAUCCGGAUUUACUGGGUGUAAAGGGCGUGUAGGCGGGACUGCAAGUCAGAUGUGAAAACUAUGGGCUCAACCCAUAGCCUGCAUUUGAAACUGUGGUUCUUGAGUGAUGGAGAGGCAGGCGGAAUUCCGUGUGUAGCGGUGAAAUGCGUAGAUAUACGGAGGAACACCAGUGGCGAAGGCGACCUGCUGGACAUUAACUGACGCUGAGGCGCGAAAGCGUGGGGAGC